UACGAAAUCAAUUAAAAUUCUAUAAUCAACAUUCAUCCUUGAAUCUGAACGAUUUCUCAAGGGACAUCCCUCGAUGAUCAGUUUUCGCCACGAUGGACCUCCUAAUCGGAACCAUGAACGGUUACGAAAUAACACGGUCGAAAACUCUACCAACCUGACUGCAUAAAACCCAGCAAACGUAUCGCAACAAAGAAGUUUCUCAAACUUUUAAUUAAGACCCACACGAACUCUGACGGAGUUAGGUGAAGCUGGCGUUACGGUUGAUAGAUUGCUCGGAGAAAACUGAGACGACUCGUCUCGCGUCGUGCCAAGCAAUCUACCAAGAAACAGUUUAAUUACUUCCGUAAUUUACCGAUUUCGCAAUCACGGUUCACAGGAAGAAGGAUUACGAGCGAAAAGUUUAAGCGCGAGCGAGCUUAUUUCAUAGAGGAAUACAUCGGAGGUGAAAUCGAUCGACAUCGAUACAAAUCGAUGAUACUUGGUUGCAUCUUAGUGAUUUGCUCGAUCGACGUGUUUGCUGGAAGGUGUAAUAAUUCCUUUUCGAUUCUUUAAAUACUGUAAAUAAUCCUUCAUCUGGAGGGGUUUAUCAAGGCUAAUUCAAGGCUAAAUUUUACAAGGCUGUACUGUUCAAGGAUGGAUUUUACUAUGAUAUACUGUUCAAGGCUGGAUUUUACUAUGCUGUACUGUGCAAGGCUAGAUUUUGAUAGAGUGUACUGUUCCAGGCUCGAUUUUACUAUGAUGUACUGUUCAAGAAUAGAUCUUGAUAUAUUGUACUGUUCAAGGCUAAAUUUUACAAGAUUGUACUGUUCAAGGCUAAAUUUUACUAUGCUUAGUGUUCAAG